CAAACUGAUUAUGUAACAGCAAAUGCUGCACCUGUCAUCAGAAAUUCAGUUUACUGGAAGGUCUCAGAGACGGUUCCUGGACAGAUGUGUUAUAUGGAACUGACAAACUGCAACAACAGAUUGACGUACAACAGAUGGCUCCAGUCUUAUCGUGAGAGAGAAAAGGCAAGCCUUACACCAGCCCACACUGUGCAGCUGAGAGAAACCAACUGUUCUAGUGCUACUCUACCUACACAGUCCCUAUGGUAUCAAAUGAGAUGGCGAGACAUACCUGUUCCCAGGUAACAAGUUUGUUUCGAUCAUCACAAGUUUGGUGGCAAA